GAGGAGAGGUACACACACAACCUAGAGACUGACCGCCUGGUUAUUACUGAGGAGAGGUACACACACAACCUAUAGACUGACCGCCUGGUUAUUACUGAGGAGAGGUACACACACAACCUAGAGACUGACCGCCUGGUUAUUACUGAGGAGAGGUACACACACAACCUAGAGACUGACCGCCUGGUUAUUACUGAGGAGAGGUACACACACAACCUAGAGACUGACCGCCUGGUUAUUACUGAGGAGAGGUACACACACACAACCUAGAGACUGACCGCCUGGUUAUUACUGAGGAGAGGUACACACACACACAACCUAGAGACUGACCGCCUGGUUAUUACUGAGGAGAGGUACACACACACACAACCUAGAGACUGACUGCCUGGUUAUUACUGAGGAGAGGUACACACACAACCUAGAGACUGACCGCCUGGUUAUUACUGAGGAGAGGUACACACACAACCUAGAGACUGACUGCCUGGUUAUUACUGAGGAGAGGUACACACACAACCUAGAGACUGACCGCCUGGUUAUUACUGAGGAGAGGUACACACACAACCUAGAGACUGACCGCCUGGUUACUACUGAGGAGAGGUACACACACAACCUAGAGACUGACCGCCUGGUUAUUACUGAGGAGAGGUACACACACAACCUAGAGACUGACCGCCUGGUUAUUACUGAGGAGAGGUACACACACAACCUAGAGACUGACCACCUGGUUAUUACUGAGAGACC